rnacentral:rRNA from 1 species
GUACACUCCUGCGGGAGGCAGCAGUGGGGAAUAUUGCACAAUGGGCGCAAGCCUGAUGCAGCGACGCCGCGUGGGGGAUGAAGGCCUUCGGGUUGUAAACUCCUUUCGCUAGGGACGAAGCUUUUUUGUGACGGUACCUAGAUAAGAAGCACCGGCUAACUACGUGCCAGCAGCCGCGGUAAUACGUAGGGUGCGAGCGUUGUCCGGAAUUACUGGGCGUAAAGGGCUCGUAGGUGGUUUGUCGCGUCGUCUGUGAAAUUCUGGGGCUUAACUCCGGGCGUGCAGGCGAUACGGGCAUAACUUGAGUGCUGUAGGGGUAACUGGAAUUCCUGGUGUAGCGGUGAAAUGCGCAGAUAUCAGGAGGAACACCGAUGGCGAAGGCAGGUUACUGGGCAGUUACUGACGCUGAGGAGCGAAAGCAUGGGUAGCGAACAGGAUUAGAAACCCGAGUAGUCCCAUG